UACGGGGGGUGCAAGCGUUGCUCGGAAUCACUGGGCGUAAAGCGUCCGCAGGUGGGUGUGUGUGUCGGAUGUGAAAGCCCAGGGCUCAACCCUGGAACUGCAUUCGAAACUGCACAUCUUGAGUACGGGAGAGGGAAGCAGAAUUCCUGGUGUAGAGGUGAAAUUCGUAGAUAUCAGGAGGAAUACCUGUGGCGAAAGCGGCUUCCUGGUCCGAUACUGACACUCAUGGACGAAAGCGCGGGGAGCAAACAGG
rnacentral:rRNA from 1 species